CUGUGUAAUAGAAAAAUAAAGAAUGAAGAUAAGGAAGCAUGGUGUGGUAGCCGAGAAAAGGAAGAUAAGGUGGUGGCGAGGUCCACUAGAAAUUUUGAUCAUUAUAUUAAUAUUUGAUUUGGGAUAUUUGGUGAAUUGUUUGUUGUGUCACUGUAAUGCCUAUAUAUUGGGUGUCUUGUGUGUUAAGAGAGUAUACAAAGACAGAAGAGAAACUUAGAGAUAAAGAGAGUUUUUGAGGAGUCACACAGAGUCAGCCGAGAGUUGCAAAGAGGCCAGACUUAUAAUUUUGGUGACCCAGUGCUGAUUUAUUUAUUUUUUUUAGGGUAGGGAUCAUCAUACCUUGAAUGACUUGGAUGAUUUGUUUCGAAAAUUUUAUGAUUGCUCUUUUGUUUAAAUUGCAUAUAUGUAUUUUUGUUUAAAUAUAUAUGUAUAUUUUUGUGAAACUAAUUUUGCAUGAAAUUUCUUGAAAUCCUUGUUGUGGUUUUUCCUACUAGGACUUCCUCCAUCUCACCCCCUUCCAGUUUUAAGUACCGUGGAUUGCUAGUUACAGGCUUAGCUGGAGGGUUGGUGUUGAGGAAUUAUUUUAUUUAUUUAGAGAUUUUGCUGUAAAUAUUUGAGGAUAUUGAUUUAUAUCAAUAAAAUGAUAUUUCUUUUGAGAUCCUGGUGUAAUACUGAUUUAUUUUGAUUUGUAUAAAUCGAGGAAUUUAUUUAGAAAAUUUGCGGCGUUACAGGCAUUGCCACCAAACCUAGAUAGGUUUUCAUGACGUCUUUCAUGUCUCUAUGUUGAGAAAGUAAGAGCCGAAUCCAUCGCAUGUUUUACGAUGGACAGAUGUUGUUGUUGAUGAGGAUGAGGAAGGUCACAUCCAGAUUCUGGAUUCGCGGGAGCAGGUCUUGCUGACCAAGACCAUUCCAUUGGUUAAGGUCUUAUGGAGACAUUAUGGCAUUGAGGAGGCUACCUGGGAGCUCGAAUAGGAGGAGGAGGAUUCUAAACUUGCAUGAUGGUUGGCAUGGGCACAGCUUGUGGAAUAGUUAUCUGUGCCACUGGAGUAGUCACAAGUGCAGCUGGAAUGUAAGUCUGUGCCAUUGGAAGGGACUGCGCUUACUGCUGAGUUAGAGGGAACGGCCCUGCAUGUUGCUGAGAGGAACUUUUUUCAAUAAAUGUGGCCAGCCUGCUAACUUGGAAGGUCGCCUAUUGAGACCUUUCAGAAUUAUUUGGUCGAGGGGCCAAACCUUGGUUUGAGCUUCCAAGGGUCCGUUCCAACAUAGACUCGAACCUUUGAGAGAUUCAGUCUACCAUUUCUUCUAACUUCCGCUCGUUAGCAAGAACGGCUUUUGCAUGGUCUUAACUUGCCUUAGAUUGGUCUUGCGUAACUCUGGCUAAGUCUUGGGCAACUCUAGCUUGGUCUUGCGUAAACCUAUCUUGUUGCAUUACUAUCAAGCGGAUGUUGUCCAUAAUGGCUCAAUUUUCCAUUAUUUGACUAAAUUUUUCCACCAUAUCAUUUUUAUUAGGUGCGAAUCGUGAACUCUCUACUGGAAGUUCACUAACUUGUAUCUCUUCUACUGGCCAUUGAACAAUCCGACUAAAAUGUCCUGCCAGGCGUGUCAAUUAUGUUCGGCUCCUAAAAACCAGGGUUCCACUUUCCAAGUGAAUGGAAAGUAGGAGUGGAUGUCAGGCAUGCCAGGAACUACUGUUGUUCCAAAGUGGAUAUCCGAACAACUAUCCAGUAGGAGAUUGUAAGGAUCAGGCGAAUGAUUGAAGGACUGGAAUUACCACCUUCAAAGGUUCUUUUCGCCUUGAAAAAGGACUUUCAGACUGAACUAUGGCUAGUGGAAAGGAAAGCUGUAUUGAAAGUGCAAGACUUCAAAGUAAAGUGCUAGAAAGUAGGAAUAAUAAGUGCAAGACUUGAAUUAAACAAAUUGAAAGUGCAUUACAUCAAUGUAAAGACACAUAAAUGUGAAGUAAUUGAAGUGCUGUUGGUUAUGUGUGUUGAA